UGUCGUCGAACUUGCAUAUAUAGUGAAUGUGCUGUCCUUUACGUGGCGGCAUGCAGGCUGUCUAUUGCCUCUCCAUUGUUCAGGUCGGCCACAGAAACUGAUGCCCUUUGGGAGAGAUUCCUGCCCCGUGAUCAUCAAUCUAUCCUCUCCGAAUCUGAUAGUCCUCUGCUGAUUUCUUCCAAGAAACAACUCUAUGUCAGCCUCUGUGGUAAUCCUAUCCUCAUUGAGGAUGGUAAAAAGAGCUUUUCAUUGGAGAAAAGGAGCGAGAAGAAAUGAUAUAUGCUCUCAGCAACGGAUCUCAGAAUUGCACGGGGUGACGCUCCUGAAUAUUUGGGAUGGGCUUCUGAUCCUGGCUCAAGGUUUUCCGAAGUGGCUCACUUUUUUUGUGUAUGCUGGCUUGAAAUCAGUAGCAAAAUCAAUACAAGCAUGCUAGCUAUCACCAGCAACAUUGUGUACAGGACACCUUGUCUUCAAGCUCUCCGUAGAAGCGCUUGGUAACCAGCCAA